GAUCCUGGCUCAGACGAACGCUGGCGGCAUGCCUAACACAUGCAAGUCGAACGAAGCCUUCGGGGCUUAGUGGCGCACGGGUGCGUAACGCGUGGGAAUCUGCCUGGUUCGGAAUUAACAGUUAGAAAUGACUGCUAAUACCGAAUGAUGUCUUCGGACCAAAGAUUUAUCGCCCAAGGAUGAGCCCGCGUCGGAUUAGCUAGUUGGUGAGGUAAAGGCUCACCAAGGCGACGAUCCGUAGCUGGUCUGAGAGGAUGAUCAGCCACACUGGGACUGAGACACGGCCCAGACUCCUACGGGAGGCAGCAGUGGGGAAUAUUGGACAAUGGGCGAAAGCCUGAUCCAGCAAUGCCGCGUGAGUGAUGAAGGCCUUAGGGUUGUAAAGCUCUUUUACCCGGGAUGAUAAUGACAGUACCGGGAGAAUAAGCCCCGGCUAACUCCGUG
rnacentral:rRNA from 1 species